UACGAAGGGAGCUAGCGUUGCUCGGAAUCACUGGGCGUAAAGGGUGCGUAGGCGGGUCUUUUAAGUCAGGGGUGAAAUCCUGGAGCUCAACUCCAGAACUGCCUUUGAUACUGAAGAUCUUGAGUUCGGGAGAGGUGAGUGGAACUGCGAGUGUAGAGGUGAAAAUUCGUAGAUAUUCGCAAGAACACCAGUGGCGAAGGCGGCUCACUGGCCCGAUACUGACGCUGAGGCACGAAAGCGUGGGGAGCAAACAGGG
rnacentral:rRNA from 1 species